CUAGCUUGAGGGUGGAUGCUUCUUAAGUUGAGAAUGAAACUCAUCAUUUUUUUUAAGUAUUUAACAUCUGGGAGCAAUUUGUUACAAUGCAAUCAGCAUUGUAUUCUAUUCCCCCUUUUAAAAGAGUAGCUUCUGUUAUUGUUUAACCCAUGACUGACUAUGUAAUUUGCCAAUUUAACCCUGACCAGGCUGUGAAAUUUGUCAUUUUUGGCUGAUAACUUACACAAAGACCUUUAAACAGCAUGAUUUAUUUACACUAAUUCUGCCUUGAAGACAAUGGCACCCCUGUCUGAAACAGGAUGUCCCAACUCAACUCUGCCCUGCUCAGCAAGACAGCCUCAAAAAGCAAAGAGAUCUAAGUUCAAGGAAAUAUUCCUUGGGAGAAAGAGCAAAUAGAUACAGUGGGUGGAUUGUGCGGCUUGUAUCUCAUUAAGAGAGGAUCAGAUCCUGGAAAUGCUGACUGAAAGGGUGUUUCAUUUGGACCAUGGCGGGAGAUUCAAAACUUGCUGACUGGGAGCCUGGGAGUCCUGAUGGCUUGCUGGAUGAAGACCAAGGAAGACUUGUAGCAGCUGCCAGCUCCAGAAGAUACAUUGUUUCCAAACCCCUUUUUAUGAAUUACAAAGUAACCCUUUAAUAAAUGGACACCCUGGCGUCCUUUUGCCCUCGUA